rnacentral:rRNA from 1 species
UACGUAGGGGGCAAGCGUUGUCCGGAUUUACUGGGCGUAAAGGGCGUGCAGGCGGUUUGUUAAGUGCCGGGUGAAAGCUCCCGGCUCAACUGGGAGAGGUCCUUGCAUACUGGCAAACUCGAGGGAGGCAGAGGAAAGUGGAAUUCCCGGUGUAGAGGUGAAAUUCGUAGAUAUCGGGAGGAACACCAGUGGCGAAGGCGGCGACCUGGGCCAAUAUUGACGCUGAGGUGCGAAAGCGUGGGGAGCAAACAGG